rnacentral:rRNA from 1 species
AACGAACGCUGGCGGCAUGCCUAACACAUGCAAGUCGAACGAGCCCUUCGGGUCUAGUGGCGAACGGGUGCGUAACGCGUGGGAACCUGCCCUUAGGUUCGGAAUAACUUCCCGAAAGGGGUGCUAAUACCGGAUAAUGUCUUCGGAACAAAGUUUUAUCGCCUUGGGAUGGGCCCGGGUUGGAUUGGCAAUUUGGUAGGGUAAAGGCCUACAAAGGCGAGGAUCCAUGGCUGGUCGGAGAGGAUGAUCGGCCAAACUGGGACUGAGACACGGCCCAGACUCCUACGGAAGGAGGCAGUGGGGAUAAUGGAACAAUGGGCGAAAGCCGGAUCAAGCAAGGCCGGGGAAUUGAUGAAGGCCUUAGGGUUUAAAGCUCUUUUGCCCGGGAUGAUAAUGACAGUACCGGGAGAAUAAGCUCCGGCUAACUCCGUG